rnacentral:rRNA from 1 species
UACGUAGGGGGCAAGCGUUGUCCGGAAUCAUUGGGCGUAAAGAGCGUGUAGGCGGCUCGAUAAGUCUGCUGUGAAAGUCCAGGGCUUAACCCUGGAAGGCCGGUGGAAACUGUCGGGCUAGAGUCCGGAAGAGGCGAGUGGAAUUCCCGGUGUAGCGGUGAAAUGCGCAGAUAUCGGGAGGAACACCAAUGGCGAAGGCAGCUCGCUGGGACGGUACUGACGCUGAGACGCGAAAGCGUGGGGAGCAAACAGGG